AGCCCAGGAGUUCUGAGCUGUAGUGCGCAUUGCCGAUCGGGUGUCUGCACUGAGUUCGGCAUCAGUACAGUGACCCUCCGGGAGUGGGGAACCACCAGGUUGCCUAAGGAGGGGUGAACCAGCCCAGGUCGGAAACAGAGCAGGUCAAAACUCCCGUGCUGAUCAGUAGUGGGAUCGUGCCUGUGAAUAGCCAUUGCACUCCAGCCUGGGCA
ensembl:misc_RNA Metazoa_SRP Metazoan signal recognition particle RNA